rnacentral:rRNA from 1 species
AUUGCCCUCUUUCUUCAUGCUUUACACAUGCAAGUCGAACGGCAGCGCGGGCUUCGGCCUGGCGGCGAGUGGCGAAGGGGUGAGGAAUACAACGGAACGUGCCCAGUAUUGGGGGAUAGCUCGGCGAAAGCCGGAUUAAUACCGCAAACGACCUGAGGGUGAAAGCGGAGGAUCUUCGGACCUCGCGCUAUUGCAGCGGCCGAUGGCAGAUUAGCUAGUUGGUGGGGUAAAGGCCUACCAAGGCGACGAUCUGUAGCUGGUCUGAGAGGACGACCAGCCACACUGGGACUGAGACACGGCCCAGACUCCUACGGGAGGCAGCAGUGGGGAAUUUUGGACAAUGGGCGAAAGCCUGAUCCAGCAAUGCCGCGUGUAUGAUGAAGGCCUUCGGGUUGUAAAGCACUUUUGGCGGGAACGAAAGGGACUGUGCUAAUACCACGGUUCGAUGACGGUACCCGCAGAAUAAGCACCGGAUAACUCCGUG